CCUGGAGGGAGGAAGCAGCUGAGAGGAACCGAGUCAUAGUGGCUGCUGGAAAUGCCCCACUAGAAGCAGAUAAGCCACGUCUUGGCUCCUCCACUUUCUCUGCCUCCAUGGGCCAAGCCUAAUAAGAAGCAGCAGAUACAGAGGCACAGCCCUGUAACCCCAGUGACUCUGGAGGCUGAGGUGGGAGGACCGCAAAGCAAGGUAAAGGCCAGCCUGGGCAAG
rnacentral:lncRNA from 1 species